rnacentral:rRNA from 1 species
AGGGAUCAUUACAGGACUCGCAAGACUCCCGUACAACCCCUGUGAACGUUACCUACAGUCGUUGCCUCGGCGGGUGCCCCGCGGACGCGAGUCCCCGGGGCGCUCCAGCCCGCCGGCGGCCCGCAACUCUCCUGUUUCUGCCCCUGGCAUCUCAGAGAAAACAUACAAACGAAUCAAAACUUUCAACAACGGAUCUCUUGGUUCUGGCAUCGAUGAAGAACGCAGCGAAAUGCGAUAAGUAAUGUGAAUUGCAGACUUCAGUGAAUCAUCGAAUCUUUGAACGCACAUUGCGCCCGCCGGUAUCCCGGCGGGCAUGCCUGUUCGAGCGUCAUUUCAAACCCCUCAGGCCCCGCCUGGUGUUGGAGCCCCUGCGGUCCGCAGGCUCCCAAAGACAGCGGCGGGCGCGCCCCGGUACUGAGCAUAGUAGUUACCUCUUGCUCGGGUCCCCCGGCGCGUCUCCGGCCGUUAAACCCCCCCCAUUUUAUCAUGGUUGACCUCGGAUCAGGUAGGAAUACCCGCUGAACUUAA